ensembl:lncRNA
GUUCUGAGUCCUGUCUUUUUUGUUUUGCGUUACAGUGUAAGCAUUUUCCCACGUCCUUAAAAUUCUUCUUAAAGACAAUGUUACAGGUUGUGUAACAGUCAUGCAUUGUUUUCUUGCCUAAGGUAGCUGUGGUCCACCCUUAUGAUUCCAGGAGAUUUGCUUUCAUUUUCCAUAUUUUAGAAACUUUCCUCCUGCAAAGAACUGCUCCCCUACUAUCUCCAAGCAACAAGGAAGACCUCAAAAUCCUCAUCCAGGUCUUCCUGGGGCCUCCAGAAAACUUGUUUAAUCCAAUAUAUCUCAGCAGAGUUUGGGUGUCAAGCCUUUCUUUUCGUGAUCUCUUCCCUUGCCUUUAUUUCUCACGAUGGAGGAUUUGUAAUCCAAUGGGUAUAACUCAGGGGCUGUCAAGACUGAUGAUUAAAAUGUGGACUGUUUGAACGUUAAUGUACAGGGUAGCAUCCUUCCCAAAUUAGAUUCACCUGGAGCCCCAGAACACGAUGCUAUUUCAAGGUAGGGUCUUUGCUCAUGUAAUAUGGUAAAAUGAGGUCAUGCUCAUUAAGGAUUAAGGUGGGAGUCCAGUCCAAUCACUGGAGUCCUUGAAAGAAGGCCACGUGGAGACACACACACACACGGAAGGAGAAUGCCACGUGAGGGUGGAGACAGGUUGGAGGGACAUAUCUAGAAGCCAAGGAACGCCAGGGGCCAGUGGCGGCCACCAGGAGAAAGGCAAGGGAUGAUGCUCCUCAGAGCCCCCAGGAAGGAACGAGCCCUGCCGAUACCUUCAGUUUGGACCUCGAGUCUCCGGAACACACGCGAGACCUGGUGACGUCUCAGGGGUCCAUGGAGUCAUUGUCUUUAAGGGGCUAGAAGGUUCCAGGAGAUCAUGAGGCAGGUCCUCAGGAAACGGCAUGCUGGCCUCUGGGCGCAGAACCUCCACCCUUGUUUGGCUGGUGUCUUGUUGCAGCUGGUGGAUGACUUGUAGUUUUAUGUGCAGAAAAGCUCCUGUUGGGCUCCAGCCAGGCGAGUCACCACUCAAAGAGGGGGUCCAGCCGGGCCAUCAGACUCUUCAGGUGUCGCCCUGUCUGGGCCAGCUGUUGUGUCAGUUGGACCAGCUGUUGAACAGUCUGAGAUGGGAGACAGCUCAGCGAGUGGACAAGGCCUAUGUCUUGGGGAAGGUGGCUGAUGCGGCUGAGGACACGGCUGUUUCACCGGCAGAGCCAGGAUGCAAUCCCUGUCUGCCUGAUUCAAAAGAACUGCUCUUAUUUUUCACCCAGAGAAAAAGAGAGGUGACUCCUGCUUUAUAGUUGUGAGAAUCCCAUGAGAAAAUCAACACAAGGUGUCCAGCAGAACUCUCUACGCACAGUCGACAUGUUCACUCCCAGAAACUCUUCAUUGCCUUCUCUCUGUAAUCAGAAGUGACCAAUCGCUGCUAAACCACGACACUGAGAACACGGCUGGUCCCAGCCCCGUGCCUGGGCGUCACUCCGCUCCCACAUGGCGCCCAGUUUCUGCUUGGUGUUCUAAGAUGGGCUUCUUGGGGUAGUGUUCCUCCUCUGGCUCCUCUCCCAUAUGGUGGUUUAAUUGCUAAGUUGUGUCCGACUUUUGCAACCCCAUGGACUGUAGCCCACCAAUCUCCUCUGUCCAUGGGAUUUUUUCCAGGCAAGAAUACUGGAGUGAAUUGCCAUUUCCUUCUGCAGGGGAUCUUCCCGACCCAGGAAUUGAACCCGUGUCUCCUGCGUUGCAGGCAGAGUCUUUACCGACUGAGCUACCAAACGCACAAUAGCUACAAAAAUGAGAAACAGCAUGGCGGUCGUGGUGAGGUUCCAAGACCAUCAUCAAUUCUUAUAAAAAAAAAAUCAUUCUCUUUGAAUGUGGUGCUUAUCUGGGUACCGUGCCAAACUCAGUCUAGGACAGACACUGGGAUAAGUUGAGGGUGGGAAGAGCGUCUCCUGACUAACCCACCAGCUAUAGGAAGUUUUUCUAGACCCAAGGGUUCUCAACCUCACUGGAUCCAACUCCCCCCUUUUUUAAUGAAUACUCUAUAUUAUUAC